UCUUUAUUUAUCCACUUUAUAAUAUCUCAUAAUUUUUAAAAAAAAUUAAUAAAUUAAUAUAUUGGGUACUAAAUUUAAGCAUUAAAUAAUUAUUUUAUCAAGCAAUUAUCAUAAAGUGUCAUUUAACACUUUAUUUUAUUAUUUCCAUAAAAUAAAUAUAUUUGCUUGAAUUUAGUGAUUUUAAGGAGUAAAUUUUAUUUAGCCUCAUUAUAUUUUUAUUCCAAGAAUGGAUGCUUGGGCAUAAUAUUAUAUGAGUAAAAACUUUUAUAUAUUUUUCUGUAGUUGGCAUGAUUUAGAGGGACUAAAAGGAAGUUUUCCACGUAGGAAAUGCUCCUCGUCUCCUUCUUCUCUUCCUGCAUAUCAGCCUCCCCACUUGUUACCACCACCCAUUUCUACCAUUGCCGCCACCCACACCUUCAACCAACAGCCAAACUCUCCUCCCCACCACCUGAGCUCGUCGGCGACCCCAUCUCUCUCUUUCCCUCUCGUCUGGAAAAUACUGAAAUAAGGGAGGAAGAAGAUCUCAUCGCUGCCGCUGCUGGUAUAACCACUUGUCGGCAUCAUUUCCUCAAUCUAACCCCGGAUUCAAGCUUCUGGACCCCGAAAACCUCAAGAGCAACCUUUCCCGCCAUUUUUCUUGCCAGCAGCCGGUGUGUGCACCUCGCAGGAGCCGAAACUUCUUAGUCGCGAUCUGGUGGUUUCCGGCGAUCUUCAGGCAGAAAGAAUACCAUUUUCGAACUCCUUGUGUAGCAAGAUGACAGUUAGGACUUCUCCAGCUUUACUAUUUUGACAACGUGGUAUCCUUCACCCUCGGGCUCAGCGAAAUUGCUCCCUUUUGUAUUACUAUAUUUGACUUCUAAACACUUCGUAAUGUUUAUGUUAGAAUUUAUUUUAUUAUUAUGAUUUGAAAUGUUAUUCUAUUUAAUGUUGCAUUAACUUGAAAUAUUGAUGAAUCAAUUUAUUUCACAGUUAUGUGGAAUGAAUGUGAUUGUCGAAUAUUAUUUAAGUAAGAUACUGGUAUGCUAAA